UCAGGAUGAACGCUAGCUACAGGCUUAACACAUGCAAGUCGAGGGGCAGCAUGGUCUUAGCUUGCUAAGGCCGAUGGCGACCGGCGCACGGGUGAGUAACACGUAUCCAACCUGCCGUCUACUCUUGGACAGCCUUCUGAAAGGAAGAUUAAUACAAGAUGGCAUCAUGAGUCCGCAUGUUCACAUGAUUAAAGGUAUUCCGGUAGACGAUGGGGAUGCGUUCCAUUAGAUAGUAGGCGGGGUAACGGCCCACCUAGUCUUCGAUGGAUAGGGGUUCUGAGAGGAAGGUCCCCCACAUUGGAACUGAGACACGGUCCAAACUCCUACGGGAGGCAGCAGUGAGGAAUAUUGGUCAAUGGGCGAGAGCCUGAACCAGCCAAGUAGCGUGAAGGAUGACUGCCCUAUGGGUUGUAAACUUCUUUUAUAAAGGAAUAAAGUCGGGUAUGGAUACCCGUUUGCAUGUACUUUAUGAAUAAGGAUCGGCUAACUCCGUGCCAGCAGCCGCGGUAAUACGGAGGAUCCGAGCGUUAUCCGGAUUUAUUGGGUUUAAAGGGAGCGUAGAUGGAUGUUUAAGUCAGUUGUGAAAGUUUGCGGCUCAACCGUAAAAUUGCAGUUGAUACUGGAUAUCUUGAGUGCAGUUGAGGCAGGCGGAAUUCGUGGUGUAGCGGUGAAAUGCUUAGAUAUCACGAAGAACUCCGAUUGCGAAGGCAGCCUGCUAAGCUGCAACUGACAUUGAGGCUCGAAAGUGUGGGUAUCAAACAGGAUUAGAUACCCUGGUAGUCCACACGGUAAACGAUGAAUACUCGCUGUUUGCGAUAUACUGCAAGCGGCCAAGCGAAAGCGUUAAGUAUUCCACCUGGGGAGUACGCCGGCAACGGUGAAACUCAAAGGAAUUGACGGGGGCCCGCACAAGCGGAGGAACAUGUGGUUUAAUUCGAUGAUACGCGAGGAACCUUACCCGGGCUUAAAUUGCAGAUGAAUUACGGUGAAAGCCGUAAGCCGCAAGGCAUCUGUGAAGGUGCUGCAUGGUUGUCGUCAGCUCGUGCCGUGAGGUGUCGGCUUAAGUGCCAUAACGAGCGCAACCCUUGUUGUCAGUUACUAACAGGUUCCGCUGAGGACUCUGACAAGACUGCCAUCGUAAGAUGUGAGGAAGGUGGGGAUGACGUCAAAUCAGCACGGCCCUUACGUCCGGGGCUACACACGUGUUACAAUGGGGGGUACAGAGGGCCGCUACCACGCGAGUGGAUGCCAAUCCCCAAAACCUCUCUCAGUUCGGACUGGAGUCUGCAACCCGACUCCACGAAGCUGGAUUCGCUAGUAAUCGCGCAUCAGCCACGGCGCGGUGAAUACGUUCCCGGGCCUUGUACACACCGCCCGUCAAGCCAUGGGAGCCGGGGGUACCUGAAGUGCGUAACCGCGAGGAGCGCCCUAGGGUA
rnacentral:rRNA from 1 species